GACGAACGCUGGCGGCGUGCUUAACACAUGCAAGUCGAACGAAGUGGCGCACGGGUGAGUAACGCGUAAUCAACCUGCCCUUCAGAGGGGGACAACAGUUGGAAACGGCUGCUAAUACCGCAUACUGAAGGAGGGGAUUGCGUCUGCUUAGCUAGUUGGAGGGGGAACGGCCCACCAAGGGGAUGAUCAGUAGGCGUGCCUGGAGGAAGAACCGCCACAAUGGGAAUGGGAAACGGGCCAGGCUUCUACGGGAGGGAGCAAGUGGGAAUCUUCCGAAAUGGAGGGAAGUCUGACGGAGCAACGCCGCGGGAGGGAAGACAGCCUUCGGGUUGUAAAGCUCUGUUAAGCGGGAAGCGGUACCGGAAUAGAAAGCCACGGCUAACUACGUGCCAGCAGCCGCGGUAAUUC
rnacentral:rRNA from 1 species